GUGAACCAGUACCGUGAGGGAAAGGCGAAAAGAACCCCGGCGAGGGGAGUGAAAAAGAACCUGAAACCGUGUACGUACAAGCAGUGGGAGCCCCACCACUAAGCCAGUGGUGAGUUCCACAUACGCAUCCUUUGCUGAAGGUGCGGUUAACGGAGCGCAAGCGACGUUCAACCUCAAAAGAAGCAGAGGGGGCUUAGUGGUGGGGUGACUGCGUACCUUUUGUAUAAUGGGUCAGCGACUUAUAUUCUGUAGCAAGGUUAACCGUAUAGGGGAGCCGUAGGGAAACCGAGUCUUAACCGGGCGUUAAGUUGCAGGGUAUAGACCCGAAACCCGGUGAUCUAGCCAUGGGCAGGUUGAAGGUUGGGUAACACUAACUGGAGGACCGAACC
rnacentral:rRNA from 1 species